UACCCGCAGCACAAGUGGUGGUCAUUAUUAUUGGGCGUAAAGAGCUCGUAGGCGGUCUGUCGCGUCGGCUGUGAAAACCCGGAGCUCAACUCCGGGCCUGCAGUCGAUACGGGCAAACUGGAGUGUUGCAGGGGAGACUGGAAUUCCUGGUGUAGCGGUGAAAUGCGCAGAUAUCAGGAGGAACACCGGUGGCGAAGGCGGGUCUCUGGGCAACAACUGACGCUGAGGAGCGAAAGCGUGGGGAGCAAACAGG
rnacentral:rRNA from 1 species